rnacentral:tRNA from 1 species
AGCUGAAUAACAUAAUUUGGUUAAUGUAUAAGAUUGCAAAUCUUACAAUAUUGGUUCGAGUCCAAUUUUAGCUUUA